rnacentral:rRNA from 1 species
AACGAACGCUGGCGGCGUGCUUAACACAUGCAAGUCGAACGGUGAAGCGCCUUCCUUUUUGGUAGGUGUGGGUAAGUGGCGAACGGGUGAGUAACACGUGAGUAACCUGGCCCCUUCUUCUGGAUAACCCCAUGAGAUGGUGUCUAAUACAGGAUUUUUUGCGUCUGUCUCAUGAUGGGUCUGGGUAGGUUGUUGUUUCGGUAGGGGAUGAGCUCGCGGCCUAUCAGCGUGUUGUGGGGGUGGUUGUCUACCAAGGGGGUGACGGGUAGCCGGCCUGAGAGGGUUGACGGGCAGAUGGGGAAGGAGGAACGGCCACAACUGCUACGGGAGGCAGCCGAGGGGCAUACUGGACAAUGGGGGCAAGAGUGAUGCAGCGACGCCGCGUGAGGGAUGGAGGAAUGCGGGUUGUGAAACUAUGUCGUUAGUGAAGCAGGCCUGCCUUGUCUGUGGGUGUGUUGACGGUAGCUGGAGAAGAAGCGCCGGCUAACUACGUG